GCAAGUCGAGCGGUAGAGAGAAGCUUGCUUCUCUUGAGAGCGGCGGACGGGUGAGUAAUGCCUAGGAAUCUGCCUGGUAGUGGGGGAUAACGUUCGGAAACGGACGCUAAUACCGCAUACGUCCUACGGGAGAAAGCAGGGGACCUUCGGGCCUUGCGCUAUCAGAUGAGCCUAGGUCGGAUUAGCUAGUUGGUGAGGUAAUGGCUCACCAAGGCGACGAUCCGUAACUGGUCUGAGAGGAUGAUCAGUCACACUGGAACUGAGACACGGUCCAGACUCCUACGGGAGGCAGCAGUGGGGAAUAUUGGACAAUGGGUGAAAGCCUGAUCCAGCCAUGCCGCGUGUGUGAAGAAGGUCUUCGGAUUGUAAAGCACUUUAAGUUGGGGAGGAAGGGCAGUUACCUAAUACGUGAUUGUUUUGACGUUACCGACAGAAUAAGCACCGGCUAACUCUGUGCCAGCAGCCGCGGUAAUACAGAGGGUGCAAGCGUUAAUCGGAAUUACUGGGCGUAAAGCGCGCGUAGGUGG
rnacentral:rRNA from 1 species